AGCUUUGUGCAGUGGCAGAAUCAUAGCCAAUGAGGUUUAUCUGAGACGCGAUUAUUGCUAAUAGAAAAAAAGAACCAAAACAUAAUACCCAUUAACAAUGUUGCUUAUGUUGCCUCCCAGUGAGGAG
rnacentral:snRNA from 1 species